AGGACGAACGCUGGCGGCGUGCUUAACACAUGCAAGUCGAGCGGAAAGGCCCUUCGGGGUACUCGAGCGGCGAACGGGUGAGUAACACGUGAGUAACCUGCCCCUAGCUCUGGGAUAGCUCCGGGAAACCGGGAUUAAUACCAGAUACGACCACUUUAGACAUCUGUCGUGGUGGAAAGUUUUUCGGCCAGGGAGGGGCUCGCGGCCUAUCAGCUUGUUGGAGGGGUAACGGCCCACCAAGGCGACGACGGGUA
rnacentral:rRNA from 1 species